UAUUGUUUCUGGAGGAUCUAUUCUCUUCUACAUAAUAUAAUCAUUGAAAGUGUAAAGGAUGGAUCACAGGACUUUAUCUGUUUUUCGUCCUGUGGUUAUGUGUGGUAUUAAAUCAGUGUUUGCUAUGCCAUGAAGUUAGUUCUAUGAAUUUGGUGUUACUGAUCCAGAUGGUGAAUACCUGUGUUACUGUGUACACCUGUGUUACUAUGUAUAUCUGCGUUACUGUGUACAUCGGAUGGUGAAUACCUGUGUUACUGUGUACACCUGCAUUAUUGUGUAUAUCUGCGUUACUGUGAACAUCGGAAUAAAAGAAAAGGCAGUAAUUGCAGUCUGUCUCAAAACGUAUUUUGUUCUUCUGAAUGGGUAUUUGGUUUCAUCCACCAAGCCUCAGUGGUCGAAUCCAGGCUAAAUCAAUACUGAGGCUUCCCAAACCAUUACAGUAUGUUUAAUUGAGUAUAUCUUGUACAACUGAUUUUUUUAAGACACAAAAAGGGUUUUUGAUGGA